GAUCCUUUGAUAACAUGCUGUCUUCUCUCAGGGAGGCUACUUUGCCAAAAGCAAACAGAUGUUUAGUUCUUUACACUGGUUCAUUAAAAAUGCUAUGGGAGCCCCUUCCUGAUUCUAAUUUCUCAUGGUAGUAUCGUGAUAGGAGGAAGAUUACAGUGGUCUAUGAGAUUAUAUACUUUGUCCCAUUUUAGUUAUUUAUUGACUGUUGAUAUACACUAGGCACUGGGCCUAUGGCAAUGAAAACUCAGAAUCUCUAAAUGGAUGUUAUUAUUUUCCUAAACACCAUUGUUUUUUGGAAAUGCAUAUUGACUUUGUAUCAAUUUACAAAUAUUACUUGGGAACACAACUUCCUGUUUGUUGCAGGAGGAAAGUGUGAUUUCAGUCCAUCGAAAGAGUUUUAAGAGAUUGUUGUACAAACUUUCAAAGGAAAGGCUAGACAAAGCUUUAUUUUAAUAGCAUUUAAAUUCGAAUUUACUGUGUCAAUAGGCCAUUGCUGCUACGCUAAUUAUCUGUAGUAUAUUGCAACAGGAACUCUAGCAAAGAAUGAUGUUUACCAGAUAGCUGCUGAAUGCCACAGCUUGACCUACAAUCAAAGACCACUAUGAUGGUGCCUCAAU
rnacentral:lncRNA from 1 species